CUAGCAUGCAAGUCGAACGGAUCCUUCGGGAUUAGUGGCGGACGGGUGAGUACACGUGGGAACGUGCCCUUUGGUUCGGAACAACUCAGGGAAACUUGAGCUAAUACCGGAUAAGCCCUUCGGGGGAAAGAUUUAUCGCCAUUGGAGCGGCCCGCGUAGGAUUAGCUAGUUGGUGGGGUAAAGGCCCACCAAGGCUACGAUCCUUAGCUGGUCUGAGAGGAUGAUCAGCCACAUUGGGACUGAGACACGGCCCAAACUCCUACGGGAGGCAGCAGUGGGGAAUCUUGCGCAAUGGGCGAAAGCCUGACGCAGCCAUGCCGCGUGAAUGAUGAAGGUCUUAGGAUUGUAAAAUUCUUUCACCGGGGACGAUAAUGACGGUACCCGGAGAAGAAGCCCCGGCUAACUUCGUGCCAGCAGCCGCGGUAAUACGAAGGGGGCUAGCGUUGCUCGGAAUUACUGGGCGUAAAGGGAGCGUAGGCGGAUAGUUUAGUCAGAGGUGAAAGCCCAGGGCUCAACCUUGGAAUUGCCUUUGAUACUGGCUAUCUUGAGUACGGAAGAGGUAUGUGGAACUCCGAGUGUAGAGGUGAAAUUCGUAGAUAUUCGGAAGAACACCAGUGGCGAAGGCGACAUACUGGUCCGUUACUGACGCUGAGGCUCGAAAGCGUGGGGAGCAAACAGGAUUAGAUACCCUGGUAGUCCACGCUGUAAACGAUGAGUGCUAGUUGUCGGCAGGCAUGCCUGUCGGUGACGCAGCUAACGCAUUAAGCACUCCGCCUGGGGAGUACGGUCGCAAGAUUAAAACUCAAAGGAAUUGACGGCGGCCCGCACAAGCGGUGGAGCAUGUGGUUUAAUUCGAAGCAACGCGCAGAACCUUACCACCUUUUGACAUGCCCGGACCGCCGCAGAGAUGCGGCUUUCCCUUCGGGACUGGGAAAC
rnacentral:rRNA from 1 species